rnacentral:rRNA from 1 species
GGCAUUGCGCAGCUACACAUGCAGUCGAACGGUAGCACAGAGAAGCUUGCUCUCGGGUGACGAGUGGCGGACGGGUGAGUAAUGUCUGGGAAACUGCCUGAUGGAGGGGGAUAACUACUGGAAACGGUAGCUAAUACCGCAUAACGUCGCAAGACCAAAGAGGGGGACCUUCGGGCCUCUUGCCAUCAGAUGUGCCCAGAUGGGAUUAGCUAGUAGGUGGGGUAACGGCUCACCUAGGCGACGAUCCCUAGCUGGUCUGAGAGGAUGACCAGCCACACUGGAACUGAGACACGGUCCAGACUCCUACGGGAGGCAGCAGUGGGGAAUAUUGCACAAUGGGCGCAAGCCUGAUGCAGCCAUGCCGCGUGUAUGAAGAAGGCCUUCGGGUUGUAAAGUACUUUCAGCGGGGAGGAAGGUGAUGAGGUUAAUAACCUUGUCGAUUGACGUUACCCGCAGAAGAAGCACCGGCUAACUCCGUGCCAGCAGCCGCGGUAAUACGGAGGGUGCAAGCGUUAAUCGGAAUUACUGGGCGUAAAGCGCACGCAGGCGGUCUGUCAAGUCGGAUGUGAAAUCCCCGGGCUCAACCUGGGAACUGCAUUCGAAACUGGCAGGCUAGAGUCUUGUAGAGGGGGGUAGAAUUCCAGGUGUAGCGGUGAAAUGCGUAGAGAUCUGGAGGAAUACCGGUGGCGAAGGCGGCCCC